UAGGGAAUCUUCGGCAAUGGGGGCAACCCUGACCGAGCAACGCCGCGUGAGUGAAGAAGGUUUUCGGAUCGUAAAGCUCUGUUGUAAGAGAAGAACGUGUGUGAGAGUGGAAAGUUCACACAGUGACGGUAACUUACCAGAAAGGGACGGCUAACUACGUGCCAGCAGCCGCGGUAAUACGUAGGUCCCGAGCGUUGUCCGGAUUUAUUGGGCGUAAAGCGAGCGCAGGCGGUUUAAUAAGUCUGAAGUUAAAGGCAGUGGCUUAACCAUUGUUCGCUUUGGAAACUGUUAAACUUGAGUGCAGAAGGGGAGAGUGGAAUUCCAUGGGUAGCGGUGAAAUGCGUAGAUAUAUGGAGGAACACCGGUGGCGAAAGCGGCUCUCUGGUCUGUAACUGACGCUGAGGCUCGAAAGCGUGGGGAGCAAACAGG
rnacentral:rRNA from 1 species